GAUGAACGCUAGCUACAGGCUUAACACAUGCAAGUCGAGGGGAAACGGCAUUGAGUGCUUGCACUCUUUGGACGUCGACCGGCGCACGGGUGAGUAACGCGUAUCCAACCUUCCCAUUACUGUGGGAUAACCUGCCGAAAGGCAGACUAAUACCGCAUAGUCUUCGAUGACGGCAUCAGAUUUGAAGUAAAGAUUUAUCGGUAAUGGAUGGGGAUGCGUCUGAUUAGCUUGUUGGCGGGGUAACGGCCCACCAAGGCGACGAUCAGUAGGGGUUCUGAGAGGAAGGUCCCCCACAUUGGAACUGAGACACGGUCCAAACUCCUACGGGAGGCAGCAGUGAGGAAUAUUGGUCAAUGGACGGAAGUCUGAACCAGCCAAGUAGCGUGCAGGAUGACGGCCCUAUGGGUUGUAAACUGCUUUUGUAUGGGGAUAAAGUUAGGGACGUGUCCCUAUUGGCAGGUACCAUACGAAUAAGGACCGGCUAAUUCCGG
rnacentral:rRNA from 1 species